UUUACUCUUCCUUUUUUUCGUGAUUUUCGUCUGUUGAGCAUCAAGCAGGCUCAGAGAUAAAAGUUCAAAGCGUCUUCAACGACUCCAUCGAAUUCGAUUUUUUACCUGUUUGAGCGUUUAAAUUUGCCACGUCAGAUGGAUGGUGCUGCCUUUCGUGUGCCUAAGUUGGAGGAUUGUGUAGACAUCGAAAUGCUCAGAGUGUUCAUUAGUUGUGUUCCAUGCAAUAUUCGAUUGGCGGAGGAAAGGUGCGUGAAAUUAUGAACAGGGGCGUGGUGUGAGAGAACCCCUUCUCUUGGUGGCAACACUCAAGAGAUAUAAGGUUUCUGCAUUAUGUGAGGAGAGUGAUGUAUAUAAUCUCCUUAGCUUCUUUGCUUUGGGAACUUCCUUAUUUGAUUGUUGACCGGACAAAUUUCGGGUGGUUUUUGGCAGCUGCUUUUAAUCGCUAUUUUGCUUUGUUCUCCAAGUUGAAUGUUGGGUACGGGAGGAUUGAGAGUUUUAAGAACUUUUGAGGGUGCUUCAUGAUCUCUUCAGCUGUGUUAGGUUAUCUGCGUCUUCCAGGGAAACUAGAGCUGAGAAAAGUAUUUCGUCUUAUGUAUAAACUUUCCAAUUGGGCAUCAUGCGUUCGUUGUUCUCCUUCUGAGCUUGUUUGAGUCAUUUCUAAGAUGUUGAUGAAUUGCAGGGUUUGGAUUUUUGCACGACAAGUUUGGGGGUACAUGCAUAGGGUGGAAUCGUGUUGUGCAGAUGCUUGAGUUGAGUCGAUGUGUAUAAAAUUUCGAUUUUCCUGCCCAGGGAAAUGUGUUUGUACUUGGCGUUUGCUAGUUCUUGAAUUGUUUCAAGGCGCACUAACUGGAGUUAUUUUAUAUAGAGGUUGGAUUCUUCAUGGGCGCAUGAUUAUGUGUUUAUUUCCUCGCACAUGUAGAGCAGUUUUGGAGCCUUUGUACUCUCCAAGUAGCUGAAGCCAUAUCACAUAGGGCAGCAAUUUGGAGAACAGAACCCUUCUGUGAUGUCAAUUGCAUUUUGUGUUUUCAAGAAGUUGUGCAGAGUUAUAGUUCAGCAUGUACAGAUGUGCUUGUCGUAACUUUAUAAUCUCACUUGUUAUUGUGGUUUUGUUAUCCUGAAAGUUGCAGGACUACAGCUUACAUACUUCAUAGUGCUUUUCUACUUAUUAAUGACAUUCUUUGGCAGGACUCCAUGCCAAAGAAUCCUGCCACUUAGGCUAGCUUUUCUAGUUAUUUGUCAAGAGGCUGUAAAAGACUACAACUUCCAUAUUACAUUGUGCUUUUUUCAUUUGAUUGUAGAGGAAAAUUGGUCUGGCACAUUUUAUUUGAUUGUAAUAAUAAUUUGCUGGUUUCAAGUGUCACAGACAGAAGGAUUGCAAGAUGUCUACAAUGAGGGAUCUUAGUGCCACAAAUAGAAGGAGAAGAUUCGUUGUGUGGGAUCACUUUAAAAGGAUUCCUUGUGCAGACAAGAGCAUUAGAGGCUGUGCCUAUCUCAACUAUAGCAUCAGAGGCCGCAUUUAGCAUAGGACGUUGUGUGCUUGACGUGUUUAGUAGCUCCAUGACCGCAAGUAUGGUGGAGGCUCUUACAUGUGCUCAAGGUUGGCUACGAUCUGCACCAGUUCCACUUUCGACUGAGGACUUAGAAGAACUCACAAAUUUUGAGUUAGUGCAGAGUUGUCCACUACGAACAUGGAGUCGAACUCGAUAUUGGUUUCUCUUGACGAUUGAAGAAGUUGGAGAUUGAUGCUCGUCAAACCAAUUUCUUAUUUUUAUUGCGAAUUUACUUUCUUCAUAUUCUGUAUCAGGCGUUUAGUAAUUGCUGUCUUCUUCAUUCCCUACUUGCAGGUUGACCUUAGUUGAGCAAGAAAACCAAUGGUGUUUCUGGGUGUGCUUUCUUUUUCUGUCAGUAGUCCUUGGUGCAUGUUCAGAGUUUUCUUUUUUAACCUUUCUAAACUGACUAGGGACCGGAAUGUUAGAAAAAUAUCUUCUUAGAGACUCAUUCCUUGCUUCUGUUAUGGAUGGUUGGUAGUUGCAUGGAGAGAUGGAACCUGAUAGUUAGUUCUCUCAUGCACGGAAAUCUUUGUAGAGUAAUCUCACAUGCACAGAGAACUUCACAUGUUGUGUAUUAGGCAUUUAGUGAUUUUUGUCUUCUUCAUUUCCUACUCGCAGGUCUGGUAACACUGCUUACUUGCAUAUCUCAGUAGCCUUUAUCCAGAAAUGCCGAGAUUAUACUUUCUAUUUCUCCAAUACAUUCAAUGUUCAUGUCAAUGCUUAGAGUGAUACUUUUCAUUGUGGGGGAAAACAAUUUUUCCACUGUGUGACUGGUAAUCCGCUGUGACCUGGAGCCAUGAAAUGUUCUUCUUGAUAAUGAAAUGACUGCUCAUGUAAGUGAUUCUGGUUUGGCAAGGCUGGUGUCAAGUUUGGGUAAAGAUCAUGCGAAUCGCUCAAUAUCAAGGGUACCAUAUGAUAUGCAGCUCCAGGUACGAUUCCUCAUGAAUUUUCUUCUAGUGAUAAUGUGAUACAGAGGCAAUAGUACUUGUGUUUAAUCAGAUUGGAAGGCAUGGGAGCCGAGCUAUCUAGUCGCAGAGACGUGUACAGCUAAGGAAUACUCUUGCUUGGGACAAGACCUACCGGCGAAUCACUCCGAGAUGAAUUGAAGCUGCACAAGUAUGCUACGAUGGCAUUGCCUGAUUGUGUCCUGGAGUUGUGGACCAAACGAUCCUGCAAGAGGUCUCGGAAGAAGUAGAAGAUAUUUGCAAUUCCUAUGUCGGCAACUCAGCAGGCAAGCAAGAAAGAAUGAACACGAGAGCCGUUGGAGUGAAUUUGCUUUCAAUCUGAGAUGAAUGUAUCUUGGAACUGAAGUGCAUGGAAGCUACUGACAUUGAUAAUGCCAAUUCAAGCGUUCCGCAUUCACAACUGCAACUCUUCACAUCUCAAAUUCCACCUUGUGAUGAAGUCCUGGAAUUCCAGUUUUUGUUUUUCUUUUACUUGAAUUUGUCUCCUUUUGGAAAGAAAGUCUUUGCCGAGUGUGCUUGUCAGGCGGUCAUCUUAUUACAGGUGAAUCUUAUGUUGAUUAGUAUUA